UACCAGCACCCCGAGUGGUCGGGACGAUUAUUGGGCCUAAAGCAUCCGUAGCCGGUUCUGCAAGUCCCCCGUUAAAUCCAGCUGCUCAACAUAUGGGCCGCGGAGGAUACUACAGAGCUAGGAGGCAGGAGAGGCAAGCGGUACUCAGUGGGUAGGGGUAAAAUCCGUUGAUCCAUUGAAGACCACCAGUGGCGAAGGCGGCUUGCCAGAACGCACUCGACGGUGAGGGAUGAAAGCUGGGGGAGCAAACCGG
rnacentral:rRNA from 1 species